rnacentral:rRNA from 1 species
UGGGGAAUAUUGGACAAUGGGCGAAAGCCUGAUCCAGCCAUGCCGCGUGUGUGAAGAAGGUCUUCGGAUUGUAAAGCACUUUAAGUUGGGAGGAAGGGUUGUAGAUUAAUACUCUGCAAUUUUGACGUUACCGACAGAAUAAGCACCGGCUAACUCUGUGCCAGCAGCCGCGGUAAUACAGAGGGUGCAAGCGUUAAUCGGAAUUACUGGGCGUAAAGCGCGCGUAGGUGGUUUGUUAAGUUGGAUGUGAAAUCCCCGGGCUCAACCUGGGAACUGCAUCCAAAAACUGGCAAGCUAGAGUAUGGUAGAGGGUGGUGGAAUUUCCUGUGUAGCGGUGAAAUGCGUAGAUA